rnacentral:misc_RNA from 1 species
CCACCUUUAUUUUUCGACGACGACGGAAAGUUCAUAAAUUUGAACGGCACUCGUGAAUUGAAAUUGAGUAUUCCGACAGCUCUCAGAGAUAGAUGUUAUUCCGAAAACGCUUGUAUAAAAUAGCAGGUCAAGAAGUCAUCUACAUCACACGUGCAUCGCGAAUGUAUCCCAUGCAAAACGGAAUCGUGGAAGCUGAAUUAAAUCAUUCCCACGGUGAUUUGAAUUGUUUCGAUGUUGAUAUUGUCUUCCCACAACCAUUGGUAAUGCAAAUAUCCUUCCUUGAUUUGAAGUCUGCAAGAUGGUUCUCAUCGUCCAGUUCCAAUUUUAGCUGAGAGUAAGACAGAAAUAGCGAAACGAAUACAGUCCAGCUUGGUGGUAAUGCGGGGGUGGUAAUGUGGAUCUGCUUCGACCUGAUAGGAAGCCGAAUAGGCUGGGGUACUUCCAUUUCGUUCGUCGUCCUCCUGUAUUGGACCUCCAUCACCAUUGAUGCCAGUUUAACGAAUGCAGCUGCAUCUAAUGUCCCUCGUAAUACUGUCACGUCGGAGAUAUCGAUACCAGCGUCGGCACAUCAUGAGAACGACGAAUGCAGGAAUGUGACCACUGACAAUAGAGAGGGUACUGGACUGUCAGUGGUCAGCCAUGGAUCCGGUUAUCCUCAUUCGCCGAUAGUGCCUCCAACCUUUCUGUACGGAGCUCUUACCUGCCAACCCUAUCAAGGAAUUUAUGUGAAUCACAUCUACUUUCAACUCGCAAAUGCCUUCUUUCUAUUGUCACACCUUGCACCAAGCGGCAUACAUGGUGUACUCUAUUUAAGGUGCACUCUACUCGUGGGCUGUGCCUUUCUUGCUUUGUGGGGCUGGACAAUAGCUUGCUGGCUGGAUGCUGCUCUCUGGAAUGCUCUCUUUGUUGCCAUCAACUUCGUCCAUGUAUGCACGCUUCUUUACAAGCUCAGGCCUAUCAAGUUCACAAGAGAAAUUGAAGAGGUAUAUGUUGCAGUAUUCCAGCCAUUACGGGUGUCUCGUCAUCAAUUCAGAAAAGUAUUAAAUUGCAUGAAGGUCAUUCGUCAGUUGAAGUAUCAAGAAGUUUAUGCACAAGAAAAGGUGACCAAAGUCGAUUCUUUAUCGUUGGUGCUGUCGGGGAAACUAGUUGUCUCACAAAAUGGGAGAGCAUUGCAUAUUGUCUUCCCACAUCAGUUCCUAGAUUCUCCAGAAUGGUUUGGUGUCUCGACAGACGAAUAUUUCCAGGUGUCAAUAACAGCUAUGGAAGAAUCAAGGAUAUUGUUAUGGCAUAGAGACAAACUAAAGUUAAGCAUAAUUAGCGAUCAAUUCUUGCAGGCAGUGUUUGAUCACAUUCUGGGCAGAGACGUAGUUAAGAAAUUAAUGCAGGUGAGUGAAACAAUGGCUGCUAGUAGUCAUCAGCAGCAGAACGGACAAAUAAUCGGUCUAGGUGGAAUUGGAGCCUUAGAAAAUGAUGCUGAUACAAAACUUUUUGUUGUAAAAAAGACUGGUGAUAGUCAAGGCAUUACUGCUCUCAUCAGUCGUCAACUUCAAGAAGAGAGAAUGCCGCUGCUGUACACAACUCAAGAAAUAUUGAAUAACACCCUUCAUCAUACAAACCACCUACCAUCUUGUACAUUUCUCCCACACCCUAUACCGUACAACGUGCAGACUUCACUGUAAUAUCCUUAUCCUACUGAUCGUGCAACACUCUAGCACAAAAAUCAUAUGUGAUGUACAUGUUAUGUUCCUGCAAUGGAUGCAUAUAUAUUACACAAAUGUCGCAGUGUAAUUCCAUUAACUGUUCUCCCUGGAUAUUGUACCAAGAGCGGCAGGAGACCCGAAUGCUUGGAGAUUGGGAAGAAUCGAAGAGACUGAUCAUGAAACACCCGUUUAAUGGAAAAAUUAUUAAAUCGAUGUCAUCCUCGACAGUCAAUAUAACAUAACAUCGGUGUUUUUACAUAACGCAAUUACAGCAAGCUGAUAUUCAUUGUGACUAAAUAAUGUGCAUAUUGAAACUAUGCGUAGAAAAAAAUUGAACGUUU